rnacentral:rRNA from 1 species
CCUACGGGAGGCAGCAGUAGGGAAUCUUCCGCAAUGGACGCAAGUCUGACGGAGCAACGCCGCGUGAGUGACGAAGGUUUUCGGAUCGUAAAACUCUGUUGUGAGGGAAGAACACGUACCAGCUAACUACUGGUACCUUGACGGUACCUCACCAGAAAGCCACGGCUAACUACGUGCCAGCAGCCGCGGUAAUACGUAGGUGGCAAGCGUUGUCCGGAAUUAUUGAGCGUAAAGCGCGCGCAGGCGGUCCUUUAAGUCUGAUGUGAAAGCCCACGGCUCAACCGUGGAGGGUCAUUGGAAACUGGAGGACUUGAGUGCAGAAGAGGAAAGUGGAAUUCCAUGUGUAGCGGUGAAAUGCGUAGAGAUGUGGAGGAACACCAGUGGCGAAGGCGACUCUCUGGUCUGUAACUGACGCUGAGGCGCGAAAGCGUGGGGAGCAAACAGGAUUAGAUACCCUGGUAGUCCACGCCGUAAACGAUGAGUGCUAAGUGUUAGGGGGUUUCCGCCCCUUANUGCUGCAGCUAACGCAUUAAGCAAUCCCGCGGCCAUGGCGGCCGGGAACAUGCGACGUCGGGCCCAAUUCGCCCUAUAGUGGAGUCGUAUNAAA